UAGUAUAAUAGAAUUCCCUGGUGCAUG
rnacentral:piRNA from 1 species